AUCCCAGAAAAAUCUUCUCUAGGUUUAUCUGAUUCAUGGGAGGCAAACAUAAACGACUGAAGUUAUGCUGAUAGCACCUUUUUUUUUGUGUCUUUCCGGAGGUGUUUUAGUUGUAGUUUUCCAUACAUGA